CUGUGUCCUAGCUUCUUGUUUUAUUUUGAUAUGCCCAAAUAGGCUGUUUGGGUGAGCUAGUUUGAUUAUUGGCACCUUUGAAGCUCUUAAAUCCUGUCACCAGGUGAUCAGAGCUGUUACUAGGUAUGUGAGCCUAGGAGCCCUUUUACUUUUCUUGUAUGGAUUCAGCUCAGGUGUCCAGGUCACCAAGUGUGUGGUGUAGGCUCUCACCUACAGUCCUACAUAGACAGGGUUGAUUGGAGUAGGUACAGGUGUCUGGCUACUGUGGGGGGAAUGACUGCCCUUGAGUGUCUGGGAGGAAAGCAUGUCCCUGUUCCCUAGAGCACAUAGGUGGGUAGGUUUUGCAGCCAGACUGUGGGCACCCAAUGCUGUUGGUUGUAAGUACUGGGAUUCACCACUUAUUCUUGGACUCCUGAAUUGGGUGGCUAGGUGGCAUGGGUGGAGCCACGAACCCUCAAGUCACUGAUGUGGAUAGGUGAGGAUCCUUCUUCAUUGGCAGAACGUUGUCAAAUAUCAGAAAUCUGCCCCUCCACUUUAUAGCUGAUACAGUUAAAAAUAGGCUUCAGGUAUAUACCCUGUUGUAGUGUGCUAAUGAGGGCCUACGCUGUUGAAAUGGGCCCACACAGGUCUAUGCAAGGGUGAAAGGCAUUCAGAGUCCUUGGACCCCUUAUGUCUGUGCCUUCCCUGAGUUCCUGGCUUAGGGAAGCUGGCAGAUUAUUUUUUGUUCUUUGUUCCUGCUCCAGGGCAUGUGAUAGUUCCUACUUCUGGCCCAGGGGACCCAGAAAUAGCCGAAGCCGGUCCAAGACUAAAAACAGAGAGGGACAAGCAGAUACAGACCAGAAGAGGAGUUUGGGGCUUGACACCUGACAUCUUAACACCAGUUCCUGUUUCUUGAGGAAGGAAGAGGUAAAAUAAAUCAGCGUUUUCUGUGUCCUUCUCCAUCCCCGGAAGUCCUCAUGAAGACCCUCUCAGCUUCAACUUGAACGUGAAUAUGAGCAGCUGAUCAUCUGUUCUGCAGUCAGCCCCUGGCCAGAUUCUGACUCAUGAUAUUGACCUUCUCCAUCAUCACCUUCCACAAAUUUGAUUCUUGUCUAUUCUGCCUGGAAUGGUGCACGAGUAUAGUCACCGUUUAUGCUCCUGAUGAAAGAUACAGACCAGAAGAGGAGUUUGGGGCUUGACACCUGACAUCUUAACACCAGUUCCUGUUUCUUGAGGAAGGAAGAGGUAAAAUAAAUCAGCGUUUUCUGUGUCCUUCUCCAUCCCCGGAAGUCCUCAUGAAGACCCUCUCAGCUUCAACUUGAACGUGAAUAUGAGCAGCUGAUCAUCUGUUCUGCAGUCAGCCCCUGGCCAGAUUCUGACUCAUGAUAUUGACCUUCUCCAUCAUCACCUUCCACAAAUUUGAUUCCUGUCUAUUCUGCCUGGAAUGGUGCACGAGUAUAGUCACCGUUUAUGCUCCUGAUGAAAGGCGGGACGCCCCUCCUGUGCUGUCCUCAGAAGGGCUCUUCAGGGACCACACCCCUAGUUUGCGGAGCAGCAGAGCCUGCCCCAGUCUGGACUAGGGACUUUAUUUCUUCCACUCUCACCACUGGCUGAAGGCAGACUCCUGUCUCCACAGACUAAAGAGGAAUUAUCAAAAUGAGCUCGAAACUCUAGAUUUGAGUUAAGGAUCAUAAAUUAACACAGAGAAAUACAACUUUAACAACAAAGACCUGUUUGGAGCCCCAGUUGGAAUUAAAAAAAAAAAAACUUGAACAGAGGGAGUGAUAAAGGCUUCCUUCUUUUGCCAUCCUCUCUCGGUGGUCCCAAGCUUUCUCAUCUCCCACCUCACAAGACUGUAUCAACUGCUUUGAGACUUUUAGAAUAAAGAUCCCCAGGCAUAUCACUGCUGUUACCCUGUGAGGAUUUCCCCAGUGCUGGGUUAGACUAAGACAGAAUCCUCCAGAGGCUUCCGGGGUCUGUGUACUGGAUGGUCAACACACAGAGCCUCAGAGCCCACUUCAUUUUUCCUGCAGUUGGGCAUGACCCCAGGGACAUGACCCUGAGAGUGCUGACACUUCCUGAAGCCAGUGACCCUCCCCCUGGGCUUCUCUCUGCCUGGGUCUCAGAAUCUCUGAGGCCAACUUGUACCCUCGGAAGUGUUUCUGCUGAAGGACACGUAAACAGCACUGUGGGUUUGUGUCCUGCAGUCUGCAAAACUGCCUCCCCUGAGUGGGGUGAGGAGCUACUGGAAUACUGAAACAUUGAAAUCAUUAAAACUAGCAGAAGCCACAGCCCAUGGUGCUGGGAGAAAACUGGGAAGGACGGAGAGGUGAAGAGGCUAUAAAGGCCCAGGUGUGAAGGCGACCAUGGGCCAGGAUGUCCUGAAGUCGCAAAGCUGACCAAUGCUGAGUGCCCUAAAAGCUGCCACUCCUGUGCCCAUCUUUUCUUUCAAUGGACAAAGUCUUUCCCUGCUCUUAUGUGCCUGGGCUGGAAGGGCCUUUGACUUAGAACAUGAAGCAGCCUCCAGAGCCUCUUGGGGCAAGUGAUGGUCAAGGAGGCUCUGCCUAACCCCACCCUGCUCUUCCCACUUGUCAGAGGACCAGGAAUUUCAGUCUUCCAACUCCUGGGCUGAUCUAGUGACUCAUAACAGGAUUUCACUGGAACUGGAAGGUGUUGAAGACAGGAAGUACUCCUGGGUUUCUUCACCCAGCUGAAUGCCUAGUUCCUGGUCUUAUUACACGGCUUACAUUCAGGAUAAGAAGAGGCGUUUGGAGCUUUACGCAUGACCUCUUAGCAGCGGUUUCUGUUCAGGAGUGAAGAGGUAAAAAGAAAGCAGUGUCUACUAAGUCCUUUUCCAAGAGUCUCAGGAAAUUCUCACGAAGACCCUCUCAGAUGCAGGACGAUGAGGAGGGAAUGUUUGUUGUGUCAUAAUCUGUGGAAGGAUGCAAAGUGCACAUGGGGUUCGUUACUCCUGAUGCUCACACUAUUGCAGCCCACCUACUGGGAAAUUACCGUAAGUGUUGCUGAGUCCCUCACACAUCCACACUGAACAGCUUUCGGAUUCUCAUAAGCAGGAGUUAUUUGUGUCCUAAGAUGAGCCACUCCUUGGAAGCCCUACCCUGUCCUAUAGGGUCGCUGUGAGUCGGAAUCAACUGCAUGGCAAGAGUGUUUUUUUUGGAGAGGGGUUGAUAUUAGCUGCAGAAUAAUGUUUAAAAAAAUGCUGACAGAGUAGCAGGUGAAACCAACACAAUGAAACUGAAAUGAAAUCUCUUUUUCACACUUAUCGACCCCACAGUGCCUUCGAAGUGUGUACUUUUCACUGGGUUUAGAGGAAAGAGAGAACUCUUCACGAGAGAGACACAGCUUGGGACACCUCCAAAAUCACACGCCUCCUCCCUGAUGUUAGGUAACAUUCCAUGCUGUUUGGCUGGUUUAUCAUCUGACUGCUCCACACAAAUAGAAGGCCCGUGCAGGCAGGAGCUUCUCUGCUGUGUUGCAAGAGUAUCCUGGUUCCUAGCACCUAAGAAGCACUCAAAACUGAUUUGAGUGAAUGAAUGAGUGGGUGGGUUUUUAUAAAAACCAUGGUACUGCUCUCUUUAUGUAGUUACAAUAGUGAAAACAGGGAUAAGGGAAUGGAGACUAGUACUUGUAUAACUUAAAGUUAUAUAAAAUGAGAACAGAACUUCUAUAAUGAAGAGAGAGACAAAAAUAAAGUGUACUAACUGAAUGUACCCCCUUCACUUUGGUUGGAAAGAGACAUGGUAAAGUUGGGUUGUUUUUCCCCUACUGAUUUAUAAGUUCUAUAUAUUGAAUUGAAAAGUUAGUCUUUUAGGAGUCAGAAAUAUUUCUAUUGAGAGAUAAUUCACCCGCCAUAACAUUGCCCUUUGAAAUGUGCACAAUUCUGUGGUUGUUAGUAUAUGGACAGAGUUGUGCAACAAUCACCACUGUCUAGCUUCACGAUAUUUUCAGUGCCCUGUAAAUAAAUGCCCUACAUAUUAGUAGUCAUCCUCAUUAUUCCUUUCGUCCAAGACGUAGCAACCACUAAUCUACUUUCUGUCUGUGUUGGUUUGUCUGUUCUGGACAUCUCAUAUAAAUGGAGUCACGCACCAUGCGGUCAUUUCUGUUUGGCUUCUUUCACUUAGCAUAACGUUCUCAAAGUUUGUCCAUAUUGUUGCAUGUAUUUUAAUGACUAAUAUUCCAGUCUACGAAUAUACCACAGCUUGUCUAUCAGUUCAUGACAUUUGGAUUCUCUCCAUAUUUUGGGUAUUUAUGAAUAAUGCUGCUAUGAAAAUUCUUUUGUAAGUUGUUAUGUGAACAUGCUUCAGCUCUCCUGGGUACAUACCUAGGAGUGGAAUUGCUAUGCAUGGUAACUCUAUGUUUAACUUUCUGAGCAAGUACUUAACUGUUUUCCAAACUGAUUGGAUCGUGUCACAUGUCCACCAGCAAUGUAUGAGGGUUCCAGUUUCUCCACAUCCUCACCACAUAUGUUGUCCAUCCUAUUGAUUUGAGCCAUCUUAGUGGUUUUGAAAUAAUAGUGCGUUUUGGUUUUGAUUCGCAUUUCCCUAAUGACUAAUGAGGUUGAGCUUCUUUUCAUGUGAUUAUUGACCAUUUCUAUAUCUUCUUUGGAGAAAUGUCUAGUCAAAUCCUUAGCCUGCAAUUUUUUUUUUCAGCUUUUUGCCUGUAUUUUUGCUUUCUUCAUAUAGUUUUUGCUAUGCCAAAGAUCUGUAUCUAUAUCUUACCAGUUUUAGCCUUCACAGCUUUGGGAUUUUUAGAAAAUCUUUCUCUUUUACCAAUAAAAAGCAAAACAAAAUCUCUCAUAGUUUCUUCUGAAAUUUUUAUGGUGGCAUAUUUUACUUUUAAGUAUGUGAUCCUUUUGGAAUUUUUUUUCCUGCAAGCUAUGAGAAAAAGGAUGAAAAUAUUUUUACAGGUGAUCUAAAUGAUUACCAAAUUGCUGCAAACAUUCCUUUUUGCCUUUUUGCAUAAGCCAUAUCUUAACUGCAUUUUCCCAUAUUCCAUAUAGAAAAGCAUUUUUACAGAAGGAGGCCCGCCAUUCCCAGCCAUUUCAUUUUAAGAUUUUGCUUUGCUGCAAUAGAAAUCCCUUCUAUUCCUUUUCUACACACCUGUUGUCAUAGCCAAUAAAAAUUUUGUGUGAGUAGGACUCCUGUGAAUUUAUAAGAUGAGGUUGAAUUUUAUAACUGGUUCCAUGUGGUGCAGCCCAGCAGAAGGACAGACAGAAGCAGUAGCUCCAGAGGGAACAGAAGCUAUAAGCACAUGAGCCUCUAGAGAUUUGCUCUUGAAUUUCAGAGAAAGCUCUAGACUUUUCUAUAUAAACAUAUUAUAUAUGGCCAUCACCUUAGAACAGACAGAGAAUAAUGCUUUGAAUGUGAAGCAUUCAGGACAGAACUGGAGAAAAAUGUAGAACAAUCUUCUAACUCACAAAAAAAACACCAGACUUACUGACUUGACAGGGAUUGGAGAAACCCUGAGUGUAUGGACCCCAGAUAUCCUUUGAGGUCAAUAAUGAAGUCGCUCAUGAGGUUCACCCUUCAGCCAAAGAUUAGACAGGCCCAUAAAACGAAAUGAGGCUCCAGCAGCAUACUAGCCCAGGAACAAGGACUAGAAGGUAGAAGAGGACAGGAAAGCUGGUAAUAGGGAACCUAAGUUGAAGAAGAGAGAGUGUCGACAUGUCAUGGGGUUGGUAACCGUUGUUAUAAAACAAUAUAUGUACUAGCUGUUUAGUAAGAAGCUAGUUUGUUCUGUAAACCUUCAUCUAAAGAAAAAUUUAAAAAGUUAGGCUUUCAGAAUGAGAGUGUUCAUUCCUUAGAAGUAUGUGCUUUGUUGAACAUAUCUACCCAUUUCUAUUGGGUAUGUAUCUAGAAGUAGAAUUGCUGGGUCGUAGGAUACAUGUGUGUUCACAGCUUUAGUAGAUAUGGCCAAAGCAUUUUUAAAGUGGUUGUACCAAAUUACACUUUCACUAGCAGUAAAUUAGAGAUCCCUUUGCUCCAUGCUCUACCUAGUAGUUGGUAUUUUCCAUCUUUUUCAUUUUAGCCAUUCUGGUGUGUGGGGGAUAGUAUCACAUUGUGACAUUUUGUUAAGAGUUUCUCUGAUAACUAAUGAAUGUAUGUUGGCCAUACAGAAAUCUUUUCAAGUAUUUCCUCAUCUAUUGGACUUUUUUUUUGUUUUUGCUUUAUAAACGGUUCUUUAUAUAUUCUAGAACCAAGUCCAUAGUAGGACAUAGGUAUUGCAAAUAACUUCUGCUACCAUACGAAUUCACCCUUGUGGCUUGUCAAGAGCUUUCAGAUUCAGAAACCUGCCUUUUAUAAGAACAGGCAAAUGUAUAGUAACGAAAGUUUAUUAGGGGUUAACGGGGCAGGAGGGAGGAAAUAAAGCAGUGUUAUUGCAUACAGAGCACGGAGUUUCAGUUUAUGGUGGUGGAAAAAUCCCAUUGAUAAGGGUAAGUUUGCACAGCUGAUUAAUGUAAUUGCUGUCAAUAGCUUGUACACCUGUACAACUUGUUCACUUGGCAAAGGUUGUGUGCAAUAUUUACAGCAGCAACAAAAAUGAGCAGCUUCUGAGGCAACAUUAUAGUCUGCAAUUGAUGAGAUGUAUUCUUUUAUUAUACUUUUCUCAGUUUUCUGGUUUGUUAACAUGUGACUGUUAAAAUCAAAGAUAAUAAAGCGUUUGCAUGAUGAAAGUGGUAACAAUGUCUAUUCCACCCAUUGUGUCCCUCUGAAGCUUAAAUGAGGAACUACAUGCCACUAGCAGUCGCCCAGCCUUACUUGGCACUCAGGAAAUAUUUCAUUUCUCCCACUCCUCUGGCUCACGGUCUUCUCCCCUUG